rnacentral:lncRNA from 1 species
AUGGCGAGUUCGCAAUCAGAAGCUCGGAAGCCCUGGCGAAAUCAAGCAGUGACAUGCCUCCUCCGUUCCUAACCCCAAAGCCGAAGCCACCGUGCACCUCACCAUAACCUACCGGAAUAACUUCCUAUCCACGCCUCUCUCCCCUAGCUCCUCGUACAUGCGACCAAACGCUGCAUUUUUAGCUUCCGUAACCGCCAGCUUUGCUUCUUUCCUCACCACCUUGUAGAUCUCCAUGUUCGCUCUCCGUUCUUCCUCGCUGGUGCUCUCUGCCAACUUAGCAAAAAUCUCAUUUAGUGGGGUCUUGGGAGGGUAGUGUGUAAGCAAACCUUACCCCUACCCUCCCUGGGGUAGAGAGGCUGUUUCCAAAAUUAACAUAUCAUUUUCUUCAUGUCCAAGUUAACUUACCAGCAUUACAUAAUGGUAGCAAAACGAUACAAACUCUCAAAUAGUUUAACUUCAUGUGGUUCUUUAACAGAUGUUAAUAUUAAGGAAAAUUUACUACAAUCAAAGCUUUGGCAGUGAAAAUAUUUCGAGGCCUGCACGAUCUUUGCCACUUCCAUAUAGAGUAACAAAAGUGAAAAAUACACAGAAAAGCUCGGAGAAUAAAGAGCAGAACCGUAUAUCGAAUUGGCCCAGAAGUGGGUCAGAGCUUUUGAAGCUUUCUUUUAUUUGAUUUUUUUAAAUCCUAAAUCCUAAGGAACAAUAUAAAAGCAUAGAAAACUGAGCAAAAUCCAACACAAAAAAAAAAGUAUUUUCCUACAUACCAAACCUCAAGAUUGGCGAAAUGGUAGAGAUGGAAGAACGCAGAGAUGGUAGAAAGAUGGAGGAAAAAUAGAAGGGAAAAGAAAUUUCAGAAUUAGGCCUUCUGUUUUGAAGGUUAUUUUAGGAAUUAUAAUAUAAGUGAUAGAAUAGUAACUACACUUUGUCAAACUAGAUAGCUAUUAAGCGGAAAAUUGAUAAGUUGGGAAAACCCAACUUGUUACUUUUAGCUUAAAAGCGAAGUGCAUUUAAGCACUUUUUAAAAAUUUUCAAACACUAAAACAGGCUAAAAAUAGUUUAAAAGUUGAUUUGACCAGCUUUUUCUGAGAAGGAGAUAAUCAAUCUGAGUCCUCACCGCCGAACUCUUGAAGGUGACCAAACGCUCCACCCUCUUCUAAAAUGGCGAGUUCGCAAUCAGAAGCUCGGAAGCCCUGGCGAAAUCAAGCAGUGACAUGCCUCCUCCGUUCCUAACCCCAAAGCCGAAGCCACCGUGCACCUCACCAUAACCACCAGCAUCAGCCCCAAUAUGACCAUUAUGACAUGCCUCCUCCGUUCCUAACCCCAAAGCCGAAGCCACCGUGCACCUCACCAUAACCACCAGCAUGAGCCCCA